rnacentral:rRNA from 1 species
UACCCGCAGCACAAGUGGUGGUCAUUAUUAUUGGGCCUAAAGCGUCCGUAGCUGGCUUGUUAGAUGCCUGGGUAAAUCGAUGCGCUCAACGUAUCGACUUCCGGGUAGACCGGCAAGCUCGAGACCGGGAGAGGUGUAGGCUACUCGAGGGGUAGGGGUAAAAUCCUGUAAUCCUUCGGGGAGGACCAGUGGCGAAGGCGCUACACUAGAACGGCUCUGACAGUGAGGGACGAAGCCCUGGGGCGCAAGCCAGG